UGUAACCCGGCACUCCGAGGGAAGCAGCUCCCACUGCCCAGAGCCCACCUCACCGCUCAUCAGAUGACUCUGGUUUCUACACACGGUUGGAGUCCCGCUUGAAACCUGGAUUUAGAGGGGCUCUCUCACUGCCAUGACACUCAAUCAAAGCACCUAGAGUGGGCUGGCCGAGACCAGAGCGGGUACCAAGCGAACAAGUACAGAGGAAGGCACUGGGAGAGCCCCAGGAUUGGAAAUAGAGCAGCCAUUUGGAUUUGGG